ensembl:snoRNA U3 Small nucleolar RNA U3
AAGACUAUACUUUCAGGGAUCAUUUCUAUAGUUCGUUACUAGAGAAGUUUCUCUGAACGUGUAGGGUACCCGAAACCACGAGGAGGAUUUGUAGUGUUCUCUUCUGAGCGUGAAGUCGGAUUUCGGUGUUGCUUUUGUAACUGCCGGUUUCCAUUGAUGAUCGUUCUACUCCUCUUUGGGGGAGUUAGAGGGAGAGAACGCAGUCUGAGUGGU